UGAGUGGCGGACGGGUGAGGUAACGCGUGGGCAACCUGCCCUGUACAGGGGGACAACACUUAGAAAUAGGUGCUAAUACCGCAUAACGGGGGGAGCCGCAUGGCACCCCCUGAAAACUCCGGUGGUACAGGAUGGGCCCGCGUCUGAUUAGCUGGUUGGCAGGGUAACGGCCUACCAAGGCGACGAUCAGUAGCCGGCCUGAGAGGGCGGACGGCCACACUGGGACUGAGACACGGCCCAGACUCCUACGGAAGGCAGCAG
rnacentral:rRNA from 1 species